rnacentral:lncRNA from 1 species
GAAAUAACGUUAUUUUUUGAAACCUUACCUUGAAUGCUACCUCUAUGGCACAUCGUACUAGUGUACUAGCGAAGGAGUGGACCAAUUUUUGUAGACGUGGGUGAGGCCGUUUAUUUUGUUAGAUUGCGUGCCCUUUUUAGCUCUUUUCAGAUAUUUUUAGAGUUUCUCUUUCUUUUGUUUUGUCACUCCUUGAGGCGCUAGCUGCCUCACCCUUUGUAGCCAAAUUCAUUGACCUAAUGAAUGAAGCAGGUAGCGUGCUACCUUUUUCUAAAAAAAAAAAAAAAAAAAAAAAAAAAAAA